AAGACUAUACUUUUAGGGAUCAUUUCUCCAAUUACUAGAAAGAUUUCUCUAAAUGUGUAGAGUACCUGAAACCGAGAGGAGACAGUAAA
ensembl:snoRNA U3 Small nucleolar RNA U3